rnacentral:rRNA from 1 species
UGCAGUCGAGCGGACAGAUGGGAGCUUGCUCCCUGAUGUUAGCGGCGGACGGGUGAGUAACACGUGGGUAACCUGCCUGUAAGACUGGGAUAACUCCGGGAAACCGGGGCUAAUACCGGAUGGUUGUUUGAACCGCAUGGUUCAAACAUAAAAGGUGGCUUCGGCUACCACUUACAGAUGGACCCGCGGCGCAUUAGCUAGUUGGUGAGGUAACGGCUCACCAAGGCAACGAUGCGUAGCCGACCUGAGAGGGUGAUCGGCCACACUGGGACUGAGACACGGCCCAGACUCCUACGGGAGGCAGCAGUAGGGAAUCUUCCGCAAUGGACGAAAGUCUGACGGAGCAACGCCGCGUGAGUGAUGAAGGUUUUCGGAUCGUAAAGCUCUGUUGUUAGGGAAGAACAAGUACCGUUCGAAUAGGGCGGUACCUUGACGGUACCUAACCAGAAAGCCACGGCUAACUACGUGCCAGCAGCCGCGGUAAUACGUAGGUGGCAAGCGUUGUCCGGAAUUAUUGGGCGUAAAGGGCUCGCAGGCGGUUUCUUAAGUCUGAUGUGAAAGCCCCCGGCUCAACCGGGGAGGGUCAUUGGAAACUGGGGAACUUGAGUGCAGAAGAGGAGAGUGGAAUUCCACGUGUAGCGGUGAAAUGCGUAGAGAUGUGGAGGAACACCAGUGGCGAAGGCGACUCUCUGGUCUGUAACUGACGCUGAGGAGCGAAAAGCGUGGGGAGCGAACAGGAUUAGAUACCCUGGUAGUCCACGCCGUAAACGAUGAGUGCUAAGUG